rnacentral:rRNA from 1 species
GGACUCAGGGAUAACAUCGAGAAAUCGGUGCUAAUACCGGAUGGUCCCGCAAGGGUAAAGCUUUUGCGGUCCGGGAGGAAUCUGCGGCCUUGUUGGUAAGGUAACGGCUUACCAAGGCUAUGACGGGUAGCUGGUCUGAGAGGACGAUCAGCCACAAUGGGACUGAGACACGGCCCAUACUCCUACGGGAGGCAGCAGUAAGGAAUAUUUCGCAAUGGGGGAAACCCUGACGAAGCAACACCGCGUGAUUGAUGACGCCCCUUGGGGUGUAAAGAUCUUUUCUGAAGGAAUAAUUCUGAAGGUACUUCAGGAAUAAGCACCGGCUAAUUACGUGCCAGCAGCCGCGGUAAUACGUAAGGUGCAAGCGUUAUCCGGAAUCAUUGGGCGUAAAGAGUUCGUAGGCGGUCUAUCAAGUCCGAUGUUAAAUAUCGAGGCUCAACCUCGAAAUGGUAUCUGAAACUGAUAAACUAGAGAGAUGCAGAGGUACGUGGAAUUCUGUAUGUAGGGGUAAAAUCCGUAGAUAUACAGAGGAACACCAAAAGCGAAGGCAGCGUACUGGGCAUUUUCUGACGCUGAGGAACGAAAGCGUGGGUAGCGAACGGGAUUAGAUACCCCGGUAGUCCACGCCGUAAACGAUGGAUACUAGAUGUUGGAGGCGUCGAACCCUCCAGUGUCUUAGCUAACGCGAUAAGUAUCCCGCCUGGGGAGUACGAGCGCAAGCUUAAAACUCAAAGGAAUAGACGGGGACCCACACAAGCGGUGGAGCAUGUGGUUUUAUUCGAUAGUAAGCGAGGAACCUUACCAAGGUUUGACAUCCCGGGAAUUCACCCGAAAGGGAGAAGUGCCGUAAGGAACCCGGUGACAGGUGCUGCAUGGUUGUCGUCAGCUCGUGCCCUGAGGUGUUCGGUUAAGUCCGUAAACGAGCGCAACCCUUAUCCUGUGUUGCAUAUCACGGGAGACUGCCUCGCAUAACGAGGAGGAAGGUAAGGAUGACGUCAAAUCAGCAUGGCCCUUAUACCUUGGGCUACACACGUGCUACAAUGGUCGGUACAAUGGGCAGCAAUGCCGAAAGGUGGAGCAAAUCUCAUCAAAACCGGCCUAAGUUCGGAUUGAGGGCUGCAACUCGCCCUCAUGAAGUUGGAAUCGCUAGUAAACGCGCAUCAGCAAUGGCGCGUUGAAUAUGUUCCUGGGUCUUGUACUCACCGCCCGUCACGUCACGAAAGGUAGAGGCACCCGAAGUACCCUUAGCAAUUUAGCGGGGUCCUAAGGUGAAAUUACUGAUUGGGACGAAGUCGUAACAAGGUA